rnacentral:rRNA from 1 species
GAUGAACGCUGGCGGCGUGCCUAAUACAUGCAAGUCGAGCGAACGGACGAGAAGCUUGCUUCUCUGAUGUUAGCGGCGGACGGGUGAGUAACACGUGGAUAACCUACCUAUAAGACUGGGAUAACUUCGGGAAACCGGAGCUAAUACCGGAUAAUAUUUUGAACCGCAUGGUUCAAAAGUGAAAGACGGUCUUGCUGUCACUUAUAGAUGGAUCCGCGCUGCAUUAGCUAGUUGGUAAGGUAACGGCUUACCAAGGCAACGAUGCAUAGCCGACCUGAGAGGGUGAUCGGCCACACUGGACCUGAGACACGGUCCAGACUCCUACGGGAGGCAGCAGUAGGGAAUCUUCCGCAAUGGGCGAAAGCCUGACGGAGCAACGCCGCGGGAGUGAUGAAGGUCUUCGGAUCGUAAAACUCUGUUAUUAGGGAAGAACAUAUGUGUAAGUAACUGUGCACAUCUUGACGGUACCUAAGCAGAAAGCCACGGCUAACUACGU